rnacentral:rRNA from 1 species
AUUGAACGCUGGCGGCAGGCCUAACACAUGCAAGUCGAGCGGAUGAAGGGAGCUUGCUCCUGGAUUCAGCGGCGGACGGGUGAGUAAUGCCUAGGAAUCUGCCUGGUAGUGGGGGAUAACGUCCGGAAACGGGCGCUAAUACCGCAUACGUCCUGAGGGAGAAAGUGGGGGAUCUCCGGACCUCACGCUAUCAGAUGAGCCUAGGUCGGAUUAGCUAGUUGGUGGGGUAAAGGCCUACCAAGGCGACGAUCCGUAACUGGUCUGAGAGGAUGAUCAGUCACACUGGAACUGAGACACGGUCCAGACUCCUACGGGAGGCAGCAGUGGGGAAUAUUGGACAAUGGGCGAAAGCCUGAUCCAGCCAUGCCGCGUGUGUGAAGAAGGUCUUCGGAUUGUAAAGCACUUUAAGUUGGGAGGAAGGGCAGUAAGUUAAUACCUUGCUGUUUUGACGUUACCAACAGAAUAAGCACCGGCUAACUUCGU